UACGUAGGGCGCAAGCGUUGUCCGGAAUUAUUGGGCGUAAAGAGCUUGUAGGCGGUUUGUCGCGUCUGCUGUGAAAAUCCGGGGCUCAACCCCGGACUUGCAGUGGGUACGGGCAGGCUAGAGUGUGGUAGGGGAGACUGGAAUUCCUGGUGUAGCGGUGAAAUGCGCAGAUAUCAGGAGGAACACCGAUGGCGAAGGCAGGUCUCUGGGCCACUACUGACGCUGAGAAGCGAAAGCGUGGGGAGCGAACAGG
rnacentral:rRNA from 1 species